rnacentral:rRNA from 1 species
AGUGAACGCUGGCGGUAGGCCUAACACAUGCAAGUCGAACGGCAGCACAGUAAGAGCUUGCUCUUACGGGUGGCGAGUGGCGGACGGGUGAGGAAUACAUCGGAAUCUACUUUUUCGUGGGGAUAACGUAGGGAAACUUACGCUAAUACCGCAUACGACCUUUGGGUGAAAGCAGGGGAUCUUUGGACCUUGCGCGAUUGAAUGAGCCGAUGUCGGAUUAGCUAGUUGGCGGGGUAAAGGCCCACCAAGGCGACGAUCCGUAGCUGGUCUGAGAGGAUGAUCAGCCACACUGGAACUGAGACACGGUCCAGACUCCUACGGGAGGCAGCAGUGGGGAAUAUUGGACAAUGGGCGCAAGCCUGAUCCAGCCAUACCGCGUGGGUGAAGAAGGCCUUCGGGUUGUAAAGCCCUUUUGUUGGGAAAGAAAAGCAGCAGGUUAAUACCCCGCUGUUCUGACGGUACCCAAAGAAUAAGCACCGGCUAACUUCGUG